rnacentral:tRNA from 2 species
GGGCGAAUAGCUCAGUGGGAGAGCACCUGACUCACAUUCAGGAGGCCGCAGGUUCGAGUCCUGCUUCGCCCACCA